rnacentral:rRNA from 1 species
GACGAACGCUGGCGGCGUGCUUAACACAUGCGAGUCGAACGGUGAAGGGACCGGUUUUUGCUGGUUCUGGAUGAGUGGCGAACGGGUGAGUAACACGUGAGUAACCUGCCCCCUUCUUCUGGAUAACCGCAUGAAAGUGUGGCUAAUACGGGAUAUUCUGCGCCUGCUGCAUGGUGGGUGUGGGAAAGAUAUUGUUUCGGUGGGGGAUGGGCUCGCGGCCUAUCAGCUUGUUGGUGGGGUGAUGGCCUACCAAGGCGGUGACGGGUAGCCGGCCUGAGAGGGUGGACGGUCACACUGGGACUGAGACACGGCCCAGACUCCUACGGGAGGCAGCAGUGGGGAAUAUUGCACAAUGGGCGCAAGCCUGAUGCAGCGACGCCGCGGGAGGGAUGGAGGCCUUCGGGUUGUAAACCUCUUUCGCCAGUGAAGCAGGCCUGUCCCUUGUGUGGGUGGGUUGACGGUAGCUGGAGAAGAAGCGCCGGCUAACUACGUG